CCCUACCCUAACACGCCAGCCCGUGGAUCUGUGACUCUGAGCCAGUGUCUGCUCCCCUAAACCCUCAGUUUCAUCAACCAUGAAACAGGUAGAAGGCCAGUGUCUGACGUCUAUGGGUCAAGAGCAGAAUUAAUAAAGGGCAGCAGGUUGUCAACACACAGAUGUUAUUAUUGUAUCUGCUCCCACAGAGUGGGGUGGGUUUUCAAGGUCACUGCCAAGAGGCCCACAAAAUACACAAGACACGGGAGACCUGUGUGCACCUCCCGAGCCUGCCAGGGCGUGAGACCCGCCACCCAUCGAUCGCCCCGAUCUCGCCGGAUCUCGCCGGUCUGCUCCCGCCCGAGCUUGCUUCAUCUGCCCACGGCUUGCCCUUUCCCGUAACUCAGCUGCUGACUUGAGUCAAGCUCUUGGAUUCUGGAUCUCAAAGGAGCACAGCUGACGGGGGCGGGGUCUGUAAAGGGAUCAGGAUGCAAGAGACCUUGAGGGUGGCCAAAGGCAGAGAGGGUCAAACACCCAUUUGGCCCAGGAGGGUCCCACAAAGGACUUGCUGUUGCGGACAGGGUUGCUGCCCCCGUGACUCAGAGGCCACACUGCCGGGCAGUGACUCAGCACCCCAGUGCAGAGCUGGGCCGGCCCAGCGCCCCGGAGCUGCCUCCAAAGCAGGGGUCCCGUGCCAGCCCAGCGGGGUGCGAGUCAGCCCAGAGGAAUGCCCUCUCCUCCCACCCGCCUGUGCCCACUGCUGUCGACUCACGAGGCUGGCAUCCCGGGGCGGCACGUGAUCCACCUGUCCCAAUGCCAGGGUAAACAGGCGGGCACAGGAGCCCGGCUUCCUGGCCGCGGGGUGAGGUCAUGCCUGCACAGGGUGACCAGGAUGGAGGGUGGGUCCCGCCGUGCGUGUGCAGGUCGCCGGGGCUGCCGACGCGCUCUCGGCGUGGAAAUGCGCCCGGGGGCGCGGGGGGCGCGGGGGCCCGAGGCUGCGCGCGGCCCCCCGCCCGCCCCGAGCGCGCCCGGCCCGCGGGCCCAUGUGCUCGGCGGCCGCACGCGCUCUGCCCACCCGAGCGCGGGGCUGGCGGGCGGCCCGUGACGUCAGGGCGAAUC
rnacentral:lncRNA from 12 species